UACAGAGGGGGCAAGCGUUGUCCGGAUUUAUUGGGCGUAAAGAGCGUGUAGGCGGCCAGACAGGUCCGUUGUGAAAACUCGAGGCUCAACCUCGAGACGUCGAUGGAAACCGUCGGGCUAGAGUCCGGAAGAGGAGAGUGGAAUUCCUGGUGUAGCGGUGAAAUGCGCAGAUAUCAGGAGGAACACCCGUGGCGAAAGCGGCUCUCUGGGACGGUACUGACGCUGAGACGCGAAAGCGUGGGGAGCGAACAGG
rnacentral:rRNA from 1 species